UCUUCUGCCAACACAAGGAGAUACAUCCAAGUGGAGAAAGAAUCACUUUUUCGGUGUGAAACACUCAAAAGCCUCAAAAUGAACCAAACAUCUGAGAAAGUUUAGCUGAGAGGAAGCAGAGAAAACGCCGACAGCUUCUCCUGUUUGGAGACAAAAGAAGAUGAAAACAUUCACAUGAAGCGGCUCGGCUCCUCUCCCACCCCCGUCUGCACAUCAACUCACUAUUCUUCAACUUGACAUCAUCCUUCCACAGACAAGAGGAGGAGAGCGGAGCGAGAGGCGGCGGCUCAGCGCUUAGGGGGGGAAAGUGACAGCGGCUGAAACUUGGCGACCAGUGAGAUGAAAUUUGCGGCGGAGACGCUGGAGCGCAGCAGGAGCCGCCGUGCAACCAGAGAGCCGAAGCGGGAGCGCCGGGCAGACGAGGCAGCCGACCUGGACGUGGAGGAUGAGAGGGGCAGAGCUUCCCCCUAGCUGCCAGCGAUGCGCUGCAGGAAGGCGCCCCCCCCCAGCAUGUCCACGCUCCUCCUGAUGCUCUGGAAGAUCGGUCCGAGACAAAAACUGAAGACUUUUGCGGGGAAAAUGGUAAACGCUGUCUGCAGUGAUGAGGAAAAGGGAACCCAAGACAAGGAAAGUAAGGAGGAGAGCAUCUUGGCCAUGCUGGGCAUCAUAGGAACUAUUCUCAACCUGGUCGUCAUCAUCUUCGUCUACAUUUACACAACGCUGUAGGCCGCAAACUGCUAACCGGCUUCACCACGUCACGUCACGCUGCGCAGCGCAGCCAGCCAGACUGGAGCCGGGUUCGAGGCUGGACGACGGCUUCAUGCAGAUCAUGCUGCACCAUAAACCAUCCAGAUGAUCGGAUUGUUUCUGACUGCUAAUAAAAAGUGCAUGAAAUGAACAAGAAACGUUCAAAGUCUGCGGCUGUUUCCAGCUCCUGGACCUAAAGACCGCGUCCAGGGAAUGGCGCUCAUGUUUGGGAAGAGCCAGAAUUUCAGUAAAGCCAACAUAAUUGUUUUCAUCCUUCUAUAAUGGAACAAGUGAGACAUUUCACAUCAACUUCUAUAAAAUCUUUAUUAAUAAUUAGUUUAAUUUACACGGAUUUGAGUCAUUUAUUGAACUGUUUAUUGAGAAAGCGAAUUUUGAAUUGAGCUGGAGCUGAAAUUCAUCCAUGAUGAAUUCACCAGGCUUUGUGUUUGACAACAGCUGAAGAAAGAUGAGACUGAGCUAGAGACAUUUAUAGGAAACAGCAUGAUUAUCAUAUAUUAUUCAAGGUUUCUAUCCAUCUCUUUAACCUGUAAUAGUUAUCAAUAUUCUAAUAAAAUCCAUCCAUAUACAUGAAAAAACUUCUCAGGAGGACUUUUAGCUGCAGCUGUUUCACUUCAUGGGCCAAAUGCAGAUUUUAUAUGGCGUGAGGUCAGAAAUGUUUGAGACAUAUGUAAAAGACAUCAUCUAAAAAUAUAAUUUCAUUUCAUUUUCCAGUUCAAACAUCACUGACUUGUAAUGACUUAAAACUCGAGGUAAUGACUAAGCAAACAAUGUAAAAUUAUCUGGAUAUUUAAAUGUACAAGUAUAAUUUUAUUUAAAAUAUCAUUUAAAUCUUAAUUUCAAUCAACUUUCAAACGGAACAUACAAAACUUUUAUGUUGAGUUUGGAGAAUUUUAUUAAUUUUGGGUCAAUAUGUGGUUUUAAAGAUUUUCAGUUUUUAGGUCACAGGAACAUACAAAACAAGAGAAAAGUUCAAAAUCAACUUCUGGCGACACCUAGUGGUGGAGCUGCAGAUUGCAAGCAAUUCAUAGAUAAAGCUAUUUUACUCAGGACCUUAAAAAUAAUUAUGUAUUUCUGAUCUGCUUAAAUAUCCAUCAAAAUAUUAAACACAGAAAAAAUGACACUUUGAGGUUUCGCCUCUCUGUAAAUAAAUUUGUUUGGUUCAGAGAUUAUAAUCCCUUCAGACUCCAGAAACUUUUCAAGGUUACGUUUAGGAACUGGCACUUUGUUGAGGUUAGUAAAACAUUUAAAGAGAGCUUAAAUGUUUUAUUUUGAUUUACUCCAAUUUACUGCUCUUGUAACUGCAAAUAUUAAAUAUGCAGCAGUGUGAACGUUAAAACGGAUCUUUGCCUGGUUUCCUAACACAGAACGUUGUUUCCUUUGCUUUCUGCUGAUGAUUGGAUGAUCAUGUUAAAGUCGGAAACUUUCAGUUUUUAGAUGAAUUUUCUGUGAGGUUCUGCUUCCAUUGAUAAGCACAAACAGAGAAAUGAAACCAUGAAACCACAAACAGGGAUUUGCUGCGUCAGACUGCAGCUGAACUUUUACACUUGGGUUUUCCUUUGCUUGGUUCUGAGUUUCUGAGCCUUUUUGUGGGUUUGUGUUGCGACUUUGACCAAAGUGCCUUCCUAAACCCAACCACAGUUUCUGCUCAAAACUUUUCAAAGUUUUUCAGCCACUAAAAAAAUGAGUCAAGCCUCCAGUUUAAUUUGAUCUGAUCCAGAACUUUAAAUGAGAACCCGCUUUGAGCUGCUGUUGUAAUUGGGAGUAAAAAGGCAAAGACCAGUGGAGAUAAACUGCUGAUGGUUUUCUGCUGCAUGUUUCCUGAGUCUCUGCUGCAAAACAGCUGGCUUCUGGCUGCAACUCUUUGCACUAAAGUAAGAUGUUAGCAAGGAACCAAACAUGAUGAUCCAAUCCAAAUAGAUUGCUUUAUAUCCAAGCGUACUAACAGGAAGUUAAGUGGAAGAAAAAGCUUGAAGAAGCAGCAUGGAUAACCUCAGCCUUGAGAGGAAAGUGAUGCAAACCUCAGUCAAGAAUUUAUUAAAGAUUCACAAGACAUGGACCUCAGCUGUCACUCUUCUGUUUUUUUCCUGCCUGGUUGUUGAUAAAUGUGACCACAAUCAGACUUCCAAGUGAACGGUUUAUGUUUCCCGUUCGCACAGAAGAAGAACGUUCCCGUCAGACAGCAGCGAUCUGCUUACAGCAGCAACUAAUAUCGUCUCUGAAUGCAGAGGUUUACUUGUUACUCAUGCAUCUUUUUCUGCUUCCUUCCACUUAACUUUCCAUUAAAAUCCUUGGAUACUUUCAAAUUGAUCACUUUGGGAGAAUUUACAGCAUAUUUCAGUUUAAUGAGUCAGACUUUGUGAAUUGAAUGACUGAAAUAAAAUAACUGUGCAAUGAUAUUCUAAUUUAUUAAGAUGCCCAUGUAUUCAUUCCUUUAAAGAAACAUGAAGACAACUCAACAACAAGCCAGUGUUUUCAAUCAGUGCUUGAGAUCCUGAACAUGAUCACAGGGAGAGAAGAAGAAAAACAUGAACUUCCUGCUGCUGCUUCUUCACAGCCAGCUAAAAAACAGUUUAAAGAGCACAUGGAAACGUCUUAUGAAUGUAUUCAUAUUUAUUGUACCUUUGAUUCUUCAUGUUCUAUUUACCUUGAAAUGUGAACAGUUCUUAUUUCUGUUGAUGUGCAUCAGAACGUAAUAAUCUCUGUACAGGCUGACAAAUAAUGGAAAGAUUUUUCAGUCUGCAUUUCAUUACAAAACAAAUAAACAUGUUUGAUUUUAUCAGGG